GCGAGCGUAGUAUAGUGGCAGUACGUCUGCUUGCCAAGCAGAUGGCGCGGGUUCAACUCCCGCCGCUCGCA
rfam:Candidatus Giovannonibacteria bacterium RIFCSPHIGHO2_01_FTLL_48_47 rifcsphigho2_01_scaffold_19213, whole genome shotgun sequence.